rnacentral:rRNA from 1 species
GUCUUUUUGAGUUAUUUUUAAAGUCUGACCUGCCCACUGAAAUUUUUAAAUGGCCGCAGUAUCCUAACUGUGCAAAGGUAGCAUAAUCAUUAGUCUUUUAAUUGAAGGCUGGUAUGAACGGUUGGACGAGGUAUAAGCUGUUUCAUAUAAAUUUAUAAUAGAAUUUUAUAUUUUAGUCAAAAAGCUAAAAUAUUAUUAAAAGACGAGAAGACCCUAUAAAUCUUUAUAUUUUUUUUUAUUUAAAUUUUUUGGAUUUAUUUUAUUUUUAUAAUAGAAAAUAUUUUGUUGGGGUGAUGUUAAAAUUUAAUGAACUUUUAAUUAUAAAAAAUCAUUAAUUUAUGAGUUACUGAUCCAUUAUUAGUGAUUAUAAGAUUAAGUUACUUUAGGGAUAACAGCGUAAUUUUUUUGGAGAGUUCAUAUCGAUAAAAAAGUUUGCGACCUCGAUGUUGGAUUAAGAUAUAAUUUUAGGUGUAGCCGCUUAAAUGUUAAGUCUGUUCGACUUUUAAAUUCUU